UGACUUUAUAGUUGAUAAUUUUUUAAUAUUAUUAUUAUAUAAUCAGGGAUGGGCAAGAAACUUGUAAAAGAGUAUCUAGAUACAAGUUACUUUAAUAAUAGAAAAGCUGUCCAACGACAAUAAGGACGGGUGCAGCCACCAUUGUAGGUGAGAAGUUGGGAAGGUAGGAUACAGAAGAAAAUUUAAUGUAUAUCUGUAAGCAACAAUAAACCAUUUCUAAUAAAAAUAACAAUUCUGAUCGAGUUCAGUUGAGAGUGAUGCUUUGUCAACAAUAUAAAUAAAUGUAUAUCAUAUUAUGGUAAAAUUAAUGAAUAGGCAUUAUUUAUUUAGCUUUAAAUUAUUAAAUUAUUAUUAGCUGCAAGCUAGGCUAAAAUAACAAAAUUGGCCUAAACAUAUCAUCACAAAUCUGGUCUACUGUACAAUAAUUAUUAUUCUCUGAUCAACUAAAUGCAAUUUAACAAUGUUCAUGGGGGGUGGGGUGUACAUUUGUCAAUAUUUUAAUUUGUUCUUUAUAUCCAUACUAACAACUGUAAAAUAAGAUAACUGAGUAUUUUUAGUUCAUCUUUAUAUAAGUCCAUAAGUAAUUAAUUUAAUUAUAUAAUGUACAACAUAUAAUAAAUAUUAUAAUAACUAGUUAGCCCUGCAAAUUUAAUUAUGCUACGGGAUAUUAAGUGUAAUCAUAUAUUAUCAAUGUUUUACUUCUUUAAUUAUAGCUGUUUUAAAUGCCCCAUAAUUAAAAUAAUUAUCACUAGGGACCAAAUUUAUAUACACUUGAAAUCCAUAAAAAAGCGCUUAAAUUGUAAAAAAAGCAAAAGUGGUAAAGGGAUUUUGAAGUCAUCGUUCAAAGAGUUCUAACCCUAUUAAAUACAAUUUUCUAACAUUCACAAAUAUAGAUUAUCAAAUCGAAAACUAGUAUUCAGUUUACUGACAUACACUUAGAAAACUCGCUGAGGAUUAAAGCAUCUCAGGACCAACCAAAUAUAGAAAAAUUAGUGAAAAACAACAAUGUCAUCACAAUAAAUAUAAAAUAAAUAAUUUGUAUUUCAAAAUUUAAAUAUGUUUUAACUAUAAUAAUAGCUUGUAAUUUAAAAUAAAUCAAAAAGUUACAAUAAUAAAACUGGAUUUUUGUAUAAAAUAUACAUGUUUACUAUAAACGGCAACGCAAGAUUUGUAGAAAAUAAUAUGCGGCCGGCUGCAUGAAAGUAUUGAGGUCAUCUAGCCUAAAUGGUCUAUAUAAAUAUAUAUAAAUAAUUAAUUUCUAUUUGACUGUAUAACAGAGUAAUCAUCAACAUUAUUCUAUUUCAUCGCUUUUAUUUCUCAUGUUUUUAUAAUUAACAUUAUAACAUUACAAAUACAUUUUAUUAUAUUAAAAAAAUUAGGAUUUUUCAUGCCAUACUAUGAAAUGUACCAAGUAUUUCGCCAUCUUAUAUUUUUCAUUUGGAGUUGGUCAAGGACUCAGGCGGCGGUCUAGACAUUUUGUUUUGUAGAACAAUAAAUCGGUGUCUCGAUCUAUGGAAUAAGGAUCUCCUUUUCAUAUGUUAAUGUACCAUUUCAAAAAAGGUAGGUACAUAACCUAAAUACAAUAAUUAAUUAGGUUGAAGUUUGGCUCUUUGGGUAGAAAAACAAAUUUCAACAUUUCGAAAAAUGUCAAAUACAUAUAUUUUCAAUGAUUUAGUACCAUUUGACUAUUGACCUAUGUAACGUUUCAGAUGAAGAAUUACUAUGUUAUUCAGCUCGCACAUGGACAUUAUUGCUUUACAAAGCAAAAUGUCUAGACCGCCGCCCGAGUCCUUAACCAACUCCAAAUGAAAAAUAUAAGAUGGCGAAAUACCUGGUUCACUACAUAGGAUGGCAUGAAAAAUGGGAUCAAUGGGUGACUGAUGACUGAUUAAUAAAAAUAACCGAUAUUAAUUUAAAAUAUAAGGAACAACUAAGAAUCCAAGCAGAGAUGUAGUAUAUUUGUACAAAUUACAUUAGCAUACUAUAUUGAUUAAAAUAUUAUUUUUGUUUAUUUUAUGUUCAGUUUUGAAUCGCAAAACCCGCACUAGACUAACAAAAGAUGAAAAAAAAACAACGCGAAGUAACUAAGAAGGAAACAAAACCCAAAGCUACUCAACUAAUAUCUUAGGUUAGGUUUAAUAUUCAAGUAAUCAAUGCCAAUUUUUUUAAUAUAAUAAAAUGUAUUUGUAAUGUUAUAAUGUUAAUUAUAAAAACAUGAGAAAUAAAAGUGAUAAAAUAUAAUAAUGGUGACGAUUACUCUGUUAGACAUUCAAAUAGAAAUUAAUUAUAUAUAUAUAUAUAUAUAUAUAUAUAUUUAUAUAGACCAUUAAAGCAAGAUGACUUCAAUCCUUUCAUGCAGCGAGCCACAUAUUAUUUUCUACAAAUCUUGCGGGGCCGUUCAUAAUAAACAUGUAUAUUUUAUACAAAAAUCUAGUUUUUUUUUUUUUUGGUUUAAUAAAUUUGUUGAGAAAACUCCGGAAAAAAUCAAAACAUACCUUCUCACACCGAUUUCCUUAAAAAUCGCUUUUAUUUCUCAUGUUUUUAUAAUUAACAUUAUAACAUUACAAAUACAUUUUAUUAUAUUAAAAAAUUGGCAUUGAUUACUUGAAUAUUAAACCUAAACUAAGAUAUUAGUUGAGUAGCUUUACGUUUUGUUAUCUUCUUAGUUUCUUCGCGUUGUUUAUUUUCUUCUUUUGACAGUCUUGUGCGAGUUUUGCGAUUCAAAACUGAACAUAAAAUAAACAAUAAUAAUAUUUUAAUCAAUAUAGUAUGCCAAUGUAAUUUGUACAAAUAUACUAAAUCUCUGCUUGUAUUCGUAAUUGUUCCUUAUGUUUUAAAUUAAUUUCUGUUAUUUUUAUUAAUCAGUCAUC